GGGAGCCGUAUGACGCGAGAGUGUCACGUACGGUUCUGCGAGGGGCUGGAGGUGAGAGUCCUCUGGUCUACUUACC
rfam:Peptococcaceae bacterium 1109 scaffold00002, whole genome shotgun sequence.